rnacentral:rRNA from 1 species
GACGAACGCUGGCGGCGUGCUUAACACAUGCAAGUCGAACGGAAAGGCCCUGCUUUUGUGGGGUGCUCGAGUGGCGAACGGGUGAGUAACACGUGAGUAACCUGCCCUUGACUUUGGGAUAACUUCAGGAAACUGGGGCUAAUACCGGAUAGGAGCUCCUGCUGCAUGGUGGGGGUUGGAAAGUUUCGGCGGUUGGGGAUGGACUCGCGGCUUAUCAGCUUGUUGGUGGGGUAGUGGCUUACCAAGGCUUUGACGGGUAGCCGGCCUGAGAGGGUGACCGGCCACAUUGGUCCUGAGGUACGGCCCAGACUCCUACGGGGGGCAGCAGUGGGGAAUAUUGCACAAUGGGCGGAAGCCUGAUGCAGCAACGCCGCGUGCGGGAUGACGGCCUUCGGGUUGUAAACCGCUUUCGCCUGUGACGAAGCGUGAGUGACGGUAAUGGGUAAAGAAGCACCGGCUAACUACGUG